rnacentral:rRNA from 1 species
UACGUAGGGUGCAAGCGUUAAUCGGAAUUACUGGGCGUAAAGCGUGCGCAGGCGGUUUUGUAAGCCAGAUGUGAAAUCCCCGGGCUUAACCUGGGAAUGGCAUUUGGGACUGCAAGGCUGGAGUACGGCAGAGGAGACUGGAAUUCCUGGUGUAGCAGUGAAAUGCGUAGAGAUCAGGAGGAAUACCGAUGGCGAAGGCAGGUCUCUGGGCUGAUACUGACGCUCAUGCACGAAAGCGUGGGGAGCGAACAGG